rnacentral:rRNA from 1 species
ACGCUGGCGGCGCGCCUAACGCAUGCAAGUCGAACGGAGAUGGGAAAGCUUGCUUUUCCAUUUUAGUGGCGGACGGGUGAGUAACACGUGAGCAACCUGCCUUUCAGAGGGGGAUAACGUUUGGAAACGAACGCUAAUACCGCAUAACAUAUUCUUGUGGCAUCACAGGGAUAUCAAAGGGGCAAUCCGCUGAGAGAUGGGCUCGCGGCCGAUUAGAUAGUUGGCGGGUAAGGGCCCACCAAGUCGACGAUCGGUAGCCGGACUGAGAGGUUGAACGGCCACAUUGGGACUGAGACACGGCCCAGACUCCUACGGGAGGCAGCAGUGGGGAAUAUUAGGCAAUGGGGGAAAAACCCCCUGACCUAGCGACGCCGCGUGAGGGAAGACGGUCUUCGGAUUGUAAACCUCUGUCUUCAGGGACGAAAAAGAUGACGGUACCUGAAGAGGAAGCCACGGCUAACUACGUGCCAGCAGCCGC